UAAGCUAUUCUGGAAAGCAAAGUGCAGACACCUGUGGCUGUGCACAGACCUAGAUCAAGCCCAGUAAGAUACAUUAGCUCCAACUAAGCACUGUUGCUGCUAGGUGUCUCCACAGUGUUUCCCAGCAGGGGACAGGAAACUUAACCACAGUGAGAUGAGCACUGGACCUGGACUGACUGCCUUAACUUGUGCAUUGCUGUGGCUGAGCUCAGUCUCUCUCAGUGUGUGGGAGAUGCAAAAUGUAGCAAAACCCAAAAGCUGCUCUGUACAAGUCCAGCACUGAGCUGGUACUAGCAAACCCUGGUGGACCCAUGCUGAAUGAGCAGCACCUCAGAGACAGCCAGCGCUCUCCAAAUCAGGAGGGUACUUCAGAGAAAUCUGGACCUGCUCUGCACAGAACUGUCUUGGGUCUACUGUGUUUGUUUGCCCCAGCUCCAUGCCAGAUAAAAACAAGUAUGCGGCUUACGCAUUCAACCUGGCUUUGGAAGCAAAUUAGCUGUAGCCAUGUGGCUUGGCCUUGCUUUAGAGUUAUUAUGCUGCUGGACCUGAGCUGGCUUAGCAGAUAGGCGCAGUUAUUCUGCAACAUGGUUACUCUAUCCACAGAUAACUAAGAUUUGAUUGUAAUAGAUGGUUGUUAUUGGAGGUGGUAAGGUGUCCGUUAUUUUAACAGGCUUUCAAAACUCAGCGAGGAAAGAAAACAUGGAUCCAGUCAUGCUUCAGUGAGCUAUGAGCUGUUUAAAGUCACUGUUUUUGAAAGCUUUGGUAGCAUGUGGAAGUAAUGGUGGAAAAUGAGUGUGCCAAAGAAUCAGGCCUUAUUUUUUAAGAGUAGCAGCAGCAGUGACACACAUUGCACCAUGAAGAGAUUAUCAACCAUGGUUUAGGGUGGGGAAACCCAGAGCACAUACCCUUUUGACUUGUUUCCCAUUUGGAGAACCUACGUAACUCAUGUUCCACUGUUAAGACUAGGAUGUUUUUGCUUCUUUUUUGUGAUUUCACAGGGAUUGUUUCCUUCCCUGAAUUCAAGAACUCUUUCUAAUGAAAAUGUGUUAAAUAAAAAUAAUAAAUGCCAAAGUACCACACAGCUGUACACCUUCUGCUAGAGCACACUCUGAAUGUCACUCCUGAAUUUUUGUACCACUGAUGCAAUGUGGUUGAGACCUCAAACUGGCUGUUGAUGGAAAGAAUCUCCUUUCUCACUGAGUUUCACACCUGUUCAAGAUAAGUUUUCUUCUAAUACCAUGUCAUUUCAAGUGAUAUUAGAAAUGCCAUAACAAUACAAAGAAAGCAAAAACAUCAGAGACCAAAAUUACAUAGCUGAAUGCCUAGCUAGGUGUUCUAGUGAAAGAAGACUCCCUUUCAGAGGUACAAAGUAGGGACACUUAGAAUUGUCUUCCCAUAUAUCUGUGAAUAUGUGGAUAUUCAGAACCUCAGAACAAUAGACCAGCAAACUUAGAUAUCAGUUAUGGCCUUAAGCCCCUGAGGUUGGUAAUAUUAGCCAACCAAAAGCAAUAUAUGUGACACAAAAUGCGGUAGGUGUCACUGGUUUGAUGAAAUUUAUAGUACUCCAAGAAGGUUUGAAUUCUAUUUGUCUUCCCAAAUCUCAGAAAGUUCUCCACCUCCUAUGAGCUUUGAAGCAUAGUAUUUAAAGUGAAAAACAUUUUAGAACAUUAAAUCCAACCUAUGAUAUAUGAAAAAUAAUAUAAAUAACUUAGGGAUCUGUGUACCCAAAAAGCACUCCUCUAGACCGUGUUCAUUCCCAACCUGUGGAAAACAUUUUUUUCCAUGUCUAGCAAGCUUUUCUAGCAAGUCUUUCCCUUGAGGACUCCAGUAAAAUUAAAUUACUAAUAUUUGUUAAGUAUUUUGUAGCUGUAAUGAUAAACCACAUAGAAAAGCCUAUGAAGGAAUGAUUACUUUUAUUGUCAGAAAAAGAUAUAGCAUGCAGUUAAUAAAGCAGGCUGUCACACCUUGAACCAUGAAGAAAAAACAAAAUAAUGUUUUGUCAGUGAGCACUAUCCAUCAUGUGUUAUGAAUGAGGCAGAGGAAAAAAUAUUGUGUGAUCAUCUAAUUAAAGGCAGUAUCAUAAUUCAUACUCACAAGGGGCCAAAUUAAGGUUGAACAGACGGUCUUAAUUCUGACAUUACCUCACUCUUGAAUGCCUGACUUUACAGUCUAAAUAAUACUCUCUUGACCUAGUUUAUAAUAUGACAAAUAAAUCGGGAUUUUUUCAAAGAUGAUUAGAAGGUCUAGUCACAGAGUCCUAUGAAUUUCACUGUGACUAUAUGCCCUUUCUGGCUUUAGAAAACUCAUCCUUGCUUUCUGUAUGCAUUUGGCUACCCCAAAACAUAUAUGCACAGUUCUUAUAUCAUUCUGUUACUUUAUCAUUCUUAUAUCAUUCUGUUGCCAUAAUUUGCUAACUUCUGCCACAAUUCCAACAUCAAAUUAUUUUAGUCAGAGAUUUAGCUUGUAUGUGAAAAAAGCACAUUUCUCUCUCUCUCUCUCUCUCUCUCUCUCUCUCUCUGUAGUAACCGUAGUCUCAUUUUAAAGAAAACCAGCAAACAUUUUCCCCAGUACAAAGUUGCUUCUUUGCUUCUCAGCCCACCUGAGUAAUAUUAGCUAAAUUGUCACUAAGGCAUGUCAAAGCCUUGGACACUGCAAUUAGACAGAAAAAUGGCUAACCAUCCCACAGGCUUCCAAAUGACAGUUUGCAAUGACAGUCUAUAAGACUUAUGUUCCUCACUUGAUUUUUGCUUUUGAAUUUGCAAUUAGACUAUUUAAAAUCCUGACAACAAUCUCUUCUUCCCCUUUCAUUUUCUAUGAAGAUUGGCCAGCCCGAGGGGCUCUAAGAUAAGCUUUGGUAAUCUCUGAAGACUCUGACAGCAUUAAACGGCAUGUUGAAAGGACUGAUAAUCUGGAACUCAAGUUAAAAUAUAGUCCUGAAGAGGCUGUCAACCUCAGAUAUCCUGGAAACGCUACAGUAAGGUUAACAUCACCGAGAAUUUUUGGAGAAGCCACAAUACUGGAGUAGAAAGUAAGCCCAGAAGGAGGGCCGCCGGAUAGCAACUUGUGGGAUUAAAUCCACAGCGCUUGCAAAAUCAAGUAUCUGGCUGUUGCUGCUGCCAAGGUUGCAAAGGCAAAGACACUGAGAACUGGAUCAUCUGCCUUUGUUUAUUCAUACUGGAACAGAGAAGCAGUCAUAGGACUUGAAAACUGUCCUCGACUGAGACCCCAGCCACACUGAAAACAUGGACAAACUUGGAAUCAAAAGCUGCAGGAUAGGACAAUCCAUCUCAGGAACUCCUGAAAAGCAGCAGCUUUAGAUUCAGAGAGGAUUUUUCUACCUUACUACAGCUUUGUCCUAGAGGUGGGUACUUAUCAGAUGAGAAAAUUCCAAGUUCUGUCCACCGUGCGUAUCUCAACCACGUAACAGGCUCAUCAUGACUUGUUAAGAGAAAAAACAAUCUCCCUCUUAAUGAGGCUUUAAUCAGAGACUUUUAUUUGCUUGUCUCUUCUUCCAGUUCAAGAGACCAGGUGUGUGCCUCUAUUACCCAGUCAUAGCUGUAACAUCUGAAAUGCAUCAUGCUGUUCUGCAAAGGUUCAUCUACUCUCAGAAGUCCAUCCUCCUAUUUCCAAUUCACUGACUUUCACAGUUGCAUUUCCAAUUAUGAGGACUGUACACACUGUACACAGCUUUUUAAAUGUCUUUUGUCCUAUUACCAGUCCUUUGUCUACUUAUUUACAUGGUUGCUACUGUCACAGUAUUUAAGUACUAACACUAGUCCUCUUUCAAACAACAAAGGGGGAAGGAAAGCGUUCUUAGCCAUUCUACAGAAGAAUGGAAGCAGACAUUUAGAUUCCAGUCCAAAAUAAUAUGUAGGUUCCCAAUUGCUACUGCCAUUAAUGUCAGUGGCAAGUUAGAAGAAGUCUGAAGUCUUCCUUUAAUUUAGACUUUAGUGACUUCUCCAAGGUGUAAGAAACCUAUAGUGAAGAAUGGAAUAUAUGUGUAUCUAUGUAUAUACAGCUAUUUUGUAUUGCCAGCCAAAUAACUUAACUACAGGCAUGAUCCUUUCUUUUGACUAAAGCCACUGCAGUCAUUAUAAUAGGUCUUUUCUUACAUAGCUUUUCCAUCUUAGGUGUCCAUUUCAUGAGUCCUUGCAAUUCUGAACCUGAAGGAAUCUACAAACACAGUCAUAGUUCUUUUGCUUAUCGAAAGGAAAAAUAUAUCUAAACUCUGUAAAUAGCUAUCACGGUAAAAAUGCUUCUUUCCCCUCUCACUUUGUAAACAGCAAGUAAAUUCAUAAAAAAUAAAUUUAAGUUACUAGGGGAAAUGUCAAGAAAGUCACAUUCUUAAUGCUCUUUAAAAAAAGUCUGCAACACAUUUGUUUGAAAUAUGUAAAAUGUUUAACUGUACUCAUUUUUUUUAGUCACAGAAUUCUAACCACUUUUCUACAAUAAGAAAAUGGUGAGACAUUUCUCAAAUUUCUGAAUAUCGACCAAUUAAACAACAAAUGGUUUCAUCCUUAAGACAGACAUCCACUGAGAGGAAUGUGAUCAGACUGAACUGGGUUUGUAUUCUUAAUUCAUUAGUGGAACUGUAAGGCCCUCUUCUGGAUUAUAAAUUACUGCACGUCUAAGCAAAGUACAUGGAAGUGACAAAGCUAACAAUGCUCUGAAAAGACAUGCUGUCUCAAAGCUGUUUUCUUUGUACUAUUAACAAUUCCAUUUCCUUGUUUUCACAUGUAUCUCUGAUCACACACUUCAGUUACCAUGAUUUAGUGACUGAGAAUGAAUCCCACUUAUUAGCAGGUUCUUAACCAUAAAGUGUUUCAUAUGCUAACAUUCAUAAGAGUGAACAUUCUAAAGAGAGAUUUCACAGUCUCAACAACUUUAUAUGAAAACGCUGUGCAGUCAAAAGUGACUCUUGCUUAUGCUAAUUAACACCUGCAUGUUCAAAUAAAGAAUGAGCCAUGCAGUUCUGCAUACAUACCUGUUUACAUAUGUACGCAAUUUUCACAAGUUAUGUUUGAAAAUUUGGCUUACACUAGAGAAGACAGUAAAGAGCAAUGAAGAACUGUUACAAUGGUCUUACCUCCAAUCUUCAAGGACUGUACAGUUCCUUAAAUGUCUUUUGAUUCCUCAAUAUACAAACAUGGACUGCAAAGGGCUUACAAAUGUGAUCUUCCAAGUGAUUUACAUACUUGCCUAAGCAAACAUUUACUCUUGAAAAGCAAGAUACUUCUCCACAGACAGAAGGAAAGAAAAUAUUUUAGAACGUGUUGUACAGAAUGAGAGCAUUUUAAUGGAUCCACCCAGCUGUAAAUAACAAUCCGAACUAUAAAUUUUC